AUUGAACGCUAGCGGGAUGCUUUACACAUGCAAGUCGAACGAGUGGCGGACGGGUGAGUAAUGUCUGGGAAACUGCCUGAUGGAGGGGGAUAACUACUGGAAACGGUAGCUAAUACCGCAUACCAUCGGAUGUGCCCAGAUGGGAUUAGCUAGUAGGUGGGGUAACGGCUCACCUAGGCGACGAUCCCUAGCUGGUCUGAGAGGAUGACCAGCCACACGGGAACUGAGACACGGUCCAGACUCCUACGGGAGGCAGCAGUGGGGAAUAUUGCACAAUGGGCGCAAGCCUGAUGCAGCCAUGCCGAGUGAAUGAAGAAGGCCUUCGGGUUGUAAAGUACUUUCAGCGGGGAGGCGUUACCCGCAGAGGAAGCACCGGCUAACUCCGUGCCAGCAGCCGCGGUAAUUC
rnacentral:rRNA from 1 species